rnacentral:lncRNA from 1 species
GUUAAUUUUUAGAUAAAAAGUAACUUAUCUGAACUAUUGGCCAUUUUGAGUUGGCGACCCAAUCUUUCAAAAUUUUGAUUUGAGUCGGUCUACAGAACUUUAACUUCAAAAUUUAAAUAUAUCGUUUAUCUGUACAGAUUUAGUUAGUAUGUUUCAUACAAUUCUUAUAGUUAUGAACUCAUUAAAAUAAGUAAUUAGCUUAAAUUUUAAAGUCAAAGUACCAUUGACCGACUCAAAUCAAGCAAAUAAAAAAGUUAGGUAGUGAAAUCAAAAUUUUAAAAGAUUGUGCAGUAAUUCAAAAUGAUUCAUAGUUCAGAUAAGUUAUAUAUAUUUUUAUCUUAAUAUUUGCCAAAUG